rnacentral:rRNA from 1 species
GGGGAAGUUAUACCGCAUAGUAUCUGUGGAUUAAAGGUGGCUUUUGGGCUGUCGCAGAUGGAUGAGCCUGCGUUGGAUUACUAGUUGGUGGGGUAAGGGCCUACCAAGGCUACGAUCCAUAGCUGAUUUGAGAGGAUGAUCAGCCACAUUGGGACUGAGACACGGCCCAAACUCCUACGGGAGGCAGCAGUGAGGAAUAUUGGACAAUGGGGGCAACCCUGAUCCAGCAAUGCCAUGUGUGUGAAGAAGGCCUUAGGGUUGUAAAGCACUUUAUUUGGGGAAGAAAGCUUUGAGGUUAAUAGCCUUGAGGAAGGACGUUACCCAAAGAAUAAGCACCGGCUAACUCCGUGCCAGCAGCCGCGGUAAUACGGGGGGUGCAAGCGUUAAUCGGAAUUACUGGGCGUAAAGGGUCUGUAGGUGGUUUGUUAAGUCAGAUGUGAAAGCCCAGGGCUCAACCUUGGAACUGCAUUUGAUACUGGCAAACUAGAGUACGGUACAGGAAUGGGGAAUUUCUGGUGUAGCGGUGAAAUGCGUAGAGAUCAAAAGGAACACCAAUGGCGAAGGCAACAUUCUGGACCGAUACUGACACUGAGGGACGAAAGCGUGGGGAUCAAACAGGAUUAGAUACCCUGGUAGUCCAUGCUGUAAACGAUGAGUACUAACUGUUGGAGUCGGUGUAAAGGCUCUAGUGGCGCAAGCUAACGCGAUAAGUACUCCGCCUGGGGACUACGGCCGCAAGGCUAAAACUCAAAGGAAUUGACGGGGACCCGCACAAGCGGUGGAGCAUGUGGUUUAUUCAUGCAACGCGAAAACCUUACCUGGUCUUGACAUCCUGCAAGCUUUCUAGAGAUAGAUUGGUUGCCUUUCGGAACACAAUGACAGGUGCUGCCCGGCUUGUUGUCAACUUCGUGUUGUGAAAUGUCGGGUUAUUCCGCACCAACGCAAACCCCUAUUGAAGUUACCAUCAUUACAUUGGGUACUCUAAUGUACGGUCGCUUAAAGGCGAAGAAAAGGUGGGG